GACAACACAAGUAGUCUUUUUGUAUUGUGGGUAUAUUUUGUUCCCUAGAAUAUGUUCAAGUCCUAAACCCCAGUACCUCUGAAUGUGACUAUAUUUGGAAAUAGGGUAUUUGUUGAUGUAAUCAACUUAAGAUGAGGUAAUAAUGGAUUAGGGCUUAUAAGCUAUCCUUAUAAGAAGAAGUGUGAAACUUGGACACACAGAUAUACCCAAGGAUAAAGAUCACGUGAAGAUGGAGGCAGAGGCUGGAAUAUGUGGCUUCAAAGAACACUCCCGGCCAGCAAUCACCAGAAGCUGAGAAGAGCAAAGAAAGAUUCAUCCCUACAACCUGGUGUUAUUUAUCUGCUCAUAAAUGCUGAUAGUCAAGAACAAAAUGAACGAGUCACAAGAUAUUGAAAACACAAAUCCUUAGGAGCAGCUGAUCCUGGUAGGCCAGGAAGCUCAAAAUCAAAAUGGAUGCUCAGCUGGAACAGCCGCACUAGCCUGCCAUAUUAGCAGGUUUGCU